rnacentral:misc_RNA from 1 species
GUGAAUCAUCAAAUUUUUGAACGCAAAUUGCACUCUCCUCGGAGAGUAUGCCUGUUUGAGGGUCAGCCUAAAAAAAAAAAUCGACAUCUUUUCUUUUCCUCGGUGUCGUUCUUCGUAUAUUUUUUUUUUUUUAACCUUUUUGUUUUUUUUAUUUAAAUUUUUCUUUUUGUUUCCAUGCGCGUUUCUAAUAUUUUUUUCUUUUCACUUUUAAGGUAUCUCU